AAAGAUUAAGCCAUGCAUGUCUAAGUAUAAGCAAUUAUACCGUGAAACUGCGAAUGGCUCAUUAAAUCAGUUAUCGUUUAUUUGAUAGUACCUUACUACUUGGAUAACCGUGGUAAUUCUAGAGCUAAUACAUGCUGAAAACCCCAACUUCGGGAGGGGUGUAUUUAUUAGAUAAAAAACCAACGCCCUUCGGGGCUUCUUGGUGAUUCAUGAUAACUUAACGGAUCGCAUGGCCUUGCGCCGGCGACGGUUCAUUCAAAUUUCUGCCCUAUCAACUUUCGAUGGUAAGGUAUUGGCUUACCAUGGUUU
rnacentral:rRNA from 1 species